CCUACGGGGGGCAGCAGUGGGGAAUAUUGCACAAUGGGGGAAACCCUGAUGCAGCGACGCCGCGUGAGUGAAGAAGUAUUUCGGUAUGUAAAGCUCUAUCAGCAGGGAAGAAAAAAGACGGUACCAGACUAAGAAGCCCCGGCUAACUACGUGCCAGCAGCCGCGGUAAUACGGAGGGGGCAAGCGUUAACCGGAUUUACUGGGUGUAAAGGGAGCGUAGGCGGAGGAGCAAGUCUGAAGUGAAAGCCCGGGGCUUAACCACGGAACUGCUUUGGAAACUGUUUGACUAGAGUGCUGGAGAGGUAGGUAGAAUUCCUAGUGUAGCGGUGAAAUGCGUAGAUAUGAGGAGGAACACCAGUGGCGAAGGCGGCUUACUGGACAGUAACUGACGUUGAGGCUCGAAAGCGUGGGGAGCAAACAGGAUUAGAUACCCGUGUAGUC
rnacentral:rRNA from 1 species